GACGAACGCUGACGGCGUGCUUAACACAUGCAAGUCGAAGGGAGUGGCGAACGGGUGAGUAACACGUGAGUAACCUGCCCUUUUCUUUGGGCUAAGCCUGGGACACUGGGUCUAAUACUGGAUGGUUUUGGCUGGGCUCGCGGCUUAUCAGCUUGUUGGUGGGGUGAUGGCUUACCAAGGGUUUGACGGGUAGCCGGCCGGAGAGGGUGGGCGGUAACACUGGGACUGAGAUACGGCCCAGAAUCCUACGGGAGGCAGCAGUGGGGGAUAUUGCACAAUGGGAGAAAGUCGGAUGCAGCGACGUAGUGUGGGGGAGGGAGGCCUUCGGGUUGUAAACUCCUUUCGCCAGCGGAAUGGGAGUGGGUAAAGGAGCGCCGGCUAACGCCGUGCCAGCCGCCGCGGUAAUUC
rnacentral:rRNA from 1 species